UUUUGCGAAGUGUUCCUAAUAUGUAAUAUAAAUGUAUUGGGGACAUUUUGCAAUCAU
rnacentral:precursor_RNA from 1 species